rnacentral:rRNA from 1 species
AUGGCCAAGCCGCCGCCGGCGGAGGAGGAGGCUGCGGCGCUACGAAGACGGCUGCGGAGACUCGUGGCCACCAUCACCGCCGGUGGUGCCGGCGCUGAGGCGUUCGACGAGGCGGCCGCGGCUCUCGCAGCGCUCAGGGAGGCGCAAGUCGGCGGGAGCCGAAAGGGUGCCCGCGGAGAGGAGACUCGAUCCGCGAACGAGGCGGAGUCCGUGCCCGCGCAGUUCUUGUGCCCGAUCUCGUCCAAGAUCAUGAGGGAUCCCGUCGUCGUCGAGUCUGGGCAGACCUAUGAUCGUCGUUACAUCGCGGAGUGGUUUAGUGCAGGGAACCAGAUGUGCCCGCAGACCCAGCAAGUGCUCUUAAACACAACUCUCAUUCCUAACCUCCUCAUCCGGAGCCUGAUAGCAGAGUGGUGCACAGAGAAUGGGUUUGCCCUUUCACCACUUGAGAAACAGGAGGAAGAUCAUAUUUGCAACAGUGAGCAAAGAACAUUUGAUGAAAUAUUCAACAAGAUAACUUCAUCAUCAAACAGUACUGAACGGAAGCAAGCAAUUAAGGGUCUUCGGCUCCUUACCAAGCGUAGCAGUGAAUUUAGAGCUGUUUUAGAAGAGAGGCCAGAUUCCAUAUCACAAAUGACCUUUGCACGGUUUUCUAACCCAGGAUUACAAAAUGAUCCACAAGUAGUGGAGGACAUGGUGACUAUAAUUCUCAACUUUUCACUACAUGAUAGUAAUAAGAAAAUAAUUGGAGAUGACCCAGAAGCAAUCCCGUUUCUCAUAUGGGCACUAAAAUCAGGAGACAUGGGGAGCCGCAGCAAUUCGGCAGCUGCCAUCUUCACUCUGUCCGCUCUUGACUCCAACAAGGAGAAGAUUGGUGAGUUGGGGGCAAUUGAACCUUUGAUUGAUCUUCUUGAACAUGGCAGCAUCAUAGCAAAGAAAGAUGCGGCAUCAGCUAUUUUCAAUCUUUGUAUGCUCCAUGAGAACAGAUCAAUAGCUACAAGGAGUGGGAUCGUCGAUGUGGCAAUCAGAGCCAUCGGUGAUCAGUCUCUUGUUGAGGAAUUCUUGGCUAUACUUGCUUUAUUGUCAAGCAACUAUGACAUGGUAGAGCUCAUGAUAGAGUUUGGUGGUGCCACUUGUAUGCUCCAAGCAAUGAGGGAGAGUGAGUGCAAGCGCAGCAAAGAGAACGCGGCGGUAGUCCUCUUCUCAAUCUGUAUGUACAAUAGGGCAAAGCUGAAAGAGAUCGAGGCAGACGAGAAUACAAAUGGCUCACUGGCUUCUCUUGCACAGAAUGGGACUCCAAGAGCAAGGAGGAAGGCUGCCGCCAUCCUGGAGAUGAUGAAGAAAACAAAAACCAUCCACAUGCACAACAGGCAUAGUUCUUGUUAG